rnacentral:rRNA from 1 species
UCUAGAGGCUUCGGCAAUGGACGAAAGUCUGACCGAGCGACGCCGCGUGCGGGAUGAAGGCCGUGAGGUUGUAAACCGCUGUCAGCAGGGAAGAAGGCCCGAAUGGCGAAUUCGGGAUUGACGGUACCUGCAGAGGAAGCCCCGGCUAACUCCGUGCCAGCAGCCGCGGUAAUACGGAGGGGGCAAACGUUGUUCGGAAUUACUGGGCGUAAAGGGUGCGUAGGCGGUUCGGCAAGUCGUGCGUGAAAUCUCGUCGCUUAACGACGAAACUGCGCUGGAUACUGCUGAGCUCGAGGAUGGGAGAGGCUAGUGGAAUUCCUGGUGUAGCGGUGGAAUGCGUAGAUAUCAGGAAGAACACUCGUGGCGAAGGCGGCUAGCUGGCCCAUUCCUGACGCUGAGGCGCGAAAGCCAGGGGAGCGAACG